AUCAAUUUUGGAUACUAUCUG
rnacentral:misc_RNA from 1 species